GCCGGAUGUCGAGGAAGGAGCGGCGUGGCCCUAUCCCAAACGGGCUCGAACGUGGCUGGCUACACGUCCGCCACCAGGCGUCCAGGCCGACCUGAACAAUAACGGACAGACGUAGCAGCCUGACACCUCCCGCCUUGAGAUUAUCCGAGCGUUGCCGAGAUCUCCGGACGGCCAGGUUUAUCGUGAUCUUUUUUUUUUCGAAACGAAGGUUUAGCGCGAUCCAAACUCCUAGAUCGCGAACUCGAGCUCGCG
rnacentral:lncRNA from 1 species